rnacentral:lncRNA from 1 species
GUUUUUAUUUCUGCCACAUAAUAAAAAAAUUAAAUUAAUUGUGACUUUUGCAGUCUUUUCUCUCACAACUGUGCAUUUAUAUCUCACAAUUCCGAUUUCUUGGAAUUGCAUUUAUACAGUAUCUUUCAGUUGCGACAUCACUUUGCAUCACUUGCAGUUAACAUCUUGCAGUUCCAAGAAUAUAUCUUGUGAGAUAGAGAGAGAGACAGAACUGUGUGAUAUAAAUUCAAGAAUUGUGAGAAAAAAAGUCAGAAUACUAAGUUUAUAUCUUAAAAUUUUGACAUUUUUCUCAGAAUUGUGAGUACCUUUUUUAUUUUUUAUCUUGUGGUGGAAACAGUCUUCCAUACUGUUAUGAUAUGCUCCACAUUAAUAACACAUCUUUUAUAAAGUUAUAGAGAAGAUCUUCUCUAGUGUGAUAUCUGGAGUCAUCUCACAUGGGGGCGACGCAGUAGAAGCUCCACAUGCAGAGAGGAGGCUCUUGAGCACACUUAACCUUCACCCUAACUGCUACAGUAAUGAGGACAAUCAGUCAGUGUGCUCAAUUCCCGAGAUCCCAGCGGAGAGUCAUAACUUUUUAUCACCCAGUCAUGAGAAGCUUACUUACAAUAAAACUGUGGAUGAUGCUGUUAGCAUUAAGCCCAAGAAUCUGUCUGAGACUGAAGAGUGGAUCUUUUCACCCAGUGAGCCAAAAACAGUGUUUGUUCGCCUGCGGGAUCCUAAAGCGUCAAGAACCUGCAGCUUUCUGGAGCUGAAGCCGUUAAGGCGGCCGUUGUCUCCCUCACGGGUGGAGGAAUGCCAGGAAGACUUCUGCCGUGACCCUGAGGAUGCCGUAGACCAGCCAGAAAUCCUCACUU